UACGGAGGGGGCAAGCGUUGUCCGGAUUUAUUGGGCGUAAAGGGCGUGUAGGCGGCCAGGUAGGUCCGUUGUGAAAACUCGAGGCUCAACCUCGAGACGCCGAUGGAAACCAUCUGGCUAGAGUCCGGAAGAGGAGAGUGGAAUUCCCGGUGUAGCGGUGAAAUGCGCAGAUAUCGGGAAGAACACCCGUGGCUAAGGCAGCUCUCUAGUACGGUACUGACGCUGAGACGCGAAAGCGUGGGGAGCGAACAGG
rnacentral:rRNA from 1 species